rfam:Schistosoma mansoni strain Puerto Rico chromosome 3, complete genome
AUCCAGCCGACGAGUCAUAAAUAGGACGAAACGUGCAUCCUGGAU